CAUCGUCAUCGUCAUCAUCACUGGUGAAGUCAUCAGUGACGUCAUCGUCACUGAUGACAUCAUCAGUGACGUCAGUGAUGACAUCAU
rnacentral:pre_miRNA from 1 species